AGCAUUUGUGUGGUUUUUCUUGUUGAGCUCGUGGACAAAGACUUAAAAGGCGGAUGCUAAACAAGCACUCUUUUGUAACCAGGAUUCAUUGUUCUGUGUGCGUUUUGGCAUGUGCAAGAAGAAAUAUA